rnacentral:lncRNA from 1 species
GCGACGGGGACGCGGCGCGAGUGCCACCGGGAAGUCAGCGAGCAGCUCCUUCUGUGCCUGUUCCCGGCUAGCAUGUGCUCGCCCAUCCCCAGCCGAAUUCCUUUCUUCCCCUCACGAUAUGUGUGUGUGUCUGUUUCCCGCUGUGGCCUAAAAUUUUGUUUAUACUUUCUUUUUCUGUAUCUUCGGGGUUCUUGGAGUUCUGUUUACUUUAACCCUGAAGAUAGACUUGGAAGGGAUUCUUUGGAUCUCUUUACCCUCUUCUCAAUGUCGUCACAUUAAAUAAAUCUUUCAGCUUUACACUUUUAAU